UCAAAGGUCCUCAUAAAUGACUUGUUCUGAUCAUUCUUUUUGCUUCUCUUGAACUUGUCGAUAUAUGACCAAUUUUGGAAGAGAGCUAGACCUCCAUUAUUGACAUUCUUCUUUGAUGUCUAUCUUUUGCAUGUUAGUUGCUACUUCACUAAAAACUUUGUCAUGAAAAAACUUAAUGGAAUAAAAGUCAUAAGAAGGGAAAAAGAGUGCAGCCAAGCGAAUCAUCAUAUUCCUCCAUCUGGAAAUAUCAUCUUGAAAAGAUACAUUUGAUUUCUGAAGAUGCAUUGAUGUGUCUAUGUUUAUAGAGUUUUAACUAUAGUUUUUACAUUAGUUUUGAGUCUUUUAUUGAGUCAAGUGUGAUUUUAGAGUCUUUCAGUCCUUUGUGAGUCUUUACAAGUUUUAAGUCGUCCUAGAAAGAGACUGCACGUUUUGAGACGAAAAUAUGCAUUUUGAGCUAAAAGACAUGUUGAAGCAUCAGAAGUUUGGCUUCAGAAGAAGGACUUUCCACCUUUAGAUCUUUCUCAAUUUUGGACACAAGCUUCAUGAAGAUGUUAUCUGAUAUUUCCAAGUAGUUUGAAGAAGAACCAACGGUGCAAUCGGAAGUUAUGGACAAUACAGUGAAGACAUAUCAAUCUGACGAGCACAAAUGAAGCCGGUGCAGGAUCAAGACACAAGAUUGACAGUAUUCACCUGGGAUCAACAGACCCCAUCCCCGACUGAAGUUUUCCUGCAAGUCUUUGUUUUACUGUUUCAUAGAAGAAUCAAGUAUUACGAUCUCCUAGUUUAACCCAAACAGUGAUGACUAAUGGCAUGUGACCUGAACCCUCAAAAGGCAAAAACUCUACUUGAGCUGAAUCAUAAAGUGAUAGCCAUUCAGUAUUAGACAAUGCGGGAUCUAGACAGCACCAAACAUCAUGGGUGUAUCUUUUUCCUGUCCAAGAAAAAACAUUCCCAACAGAUUUCAAAUCAUACAAGUUGCAGUUGGCGGUGUCCAUACAAUCGUCCAUACACAAUGCGAAUAAGGCCGAGUCUUCUUUGUAGGAAGCCUUAAGGCAAGGAAAGGCUUCCUAAAGCCCAUGAGAAGGAUCGAGAACAUCUCUUGUAGCCGUUGGAGGUGUAGAAGGAAGAAGGAGUCACAUGUGUGUGUUAUGCAAGUUGACCUCCUACAUGUCGCUGUCACAC